UACGGAGGGUGCAAGCGUUAUCCGGAUUUACUGGGUUUAAAGGGUGCGUAGGUGGGUCUGUAAGUCAGUGGUGAAAUACCCCAGCUCAACUGGGGGGGUGCUAUUGAUACUGCAUGGCUUGAGUACAGAUGAGGUAGGCGGAAUUGACGGUGUAGCGGUGAAAUGCAUAGAUAUGGUGAAGAACACCGAUAGCGAAGGCAGCUUACUAGGUUGUAACUGACGCUGAUGCACGAAAGUGUGGGGAUCAAACAGG
rnacentral:rRNA from 1 species